rnacentral:rRNA from 1 species
UACGUAGGGCGCAAGCGUUUGUCCGGAAUUAUUGGGCGUAAAGAGCGUGUAGGCGGCCUGGAAGGUCAGCUGUGAAAACUCGAGGCUCAACCUCGAGACGUCGGUUGAAACCGUAUGGCUAGAGUCCGGAAGAGGAGAGUGGAAUUCCCGGUGUAGCGGUGAAAUGCGCAGAUAUCGGGAAGAACACCCGUGGCGAAGGCGGCUCUCUGGGACGGUACUGACGCUGAGACGCGAAAGCGUGGGGAGCGAACAGG